GACCUUCUAACUCUUAUGGUUUAAAAGUUACCAAUACAAUCCCAUUGAAAAAGUGGCCACCCUGUAUACUUACGUAUUUUUACGAGUAGAAUAUAUUCAAUUCAUUAUUAUCAUACCAUACCUACUGAAAUAUAUGUGAAAUUUGAAUAUGUUUUGAAGAGAAUUCUAAUAAUUCAUUUAUCUUCUUGAAAUCAACAUUAAAUUGUAUGGAAUAUAGUUGAAGUAACGAUAAAAAUGAUUCAAACAUAAAAAAAACCGAUUUUAGAUAACUUCAAGUCAAUUAAUGAAUUACUUUUAUAGAUAAUAAGGAAUUUGUUGAACACAUCAAUCUUCUAAUUUGAAGUUCUUCUCGAGUGAGAAGGAUCAAUAAGGUAUAGUAACCAAUACAAAUAAACAAUAUCAAAUAAUUUUUUUUUUUCUUCUUCCGGGACUUUAUAUUUAAUUGAACUGGAAUUGGUUAAAAUAUCAAAUUUGGAGGAUUUAAACACCUGAAUGAAACCAAUUAGAAGAGGCAUUAUGAAUCACCUAGAAAUCUAUACUACAAAUUCACGGAUUUAAGAAUUUAAAAAAAUGAGGAAUAAUUUCAAAUGGGAACAUUAAAUAUUCACUUUUAUCAGUGUUUUUUCCAUAUCACCUACAUGAAAAAUUCUUUCAGAAAUUUAUUUCAUUUCACUACACAAUAUAAAAUGAUGAUGAAUAAUUACAAAAUAAAACUAGUAAUCAAAAAGACUGGUUUUCAAAAUUCAUUUUUACAUCCUAAUCUCAGAAUGUAUUAUUUUUUGAGAAGAUAGAGGCAAUGUUCAUCUAAAUUUUCGGUGAAUAGUUCUGAUUCAGCUUUUUGAACUUAAAUAUUUUCAUUAAAAUAUUGAACAGAAAUUUUCGAAAAAUUGAAUAUGCAACCCUUCAUCUCAUAGAAAGUAAGCCCCACUAGCACUCCAAUGUGGGAGGGGAGUGAGUAGGGCGCAGAAUCAUAGUUCAACCGGGUAUGAAGUAUAUCGUAAAAGCCAUCUUCCUCUUCCUCAAGCUCAAGUCACCCUGUACUUGCAUUAGUAGCAGUGUCGUAUCAUGAAUACAUCAUGGACUUUGAAAGACGACACCAGUUAAUCUGGAAGGUCUUUAUCAUAGAGCAAUAAUGCAGCAGGAUGGCUUCAACUAGGAAUGGUCAAAAAAAUGUUUUGAAUUAUCAAUAGAAACAAUAAAAAAAAAAGUUGAGUUUUCUUCAUCCAUAUUUGACCGAAGUUUCCAAGAGGUAUCCGAGUGAUGUUUCCAAGACUUUCUUCGAAGAAGAAGUCGUUUCAACAUAAUGGAAGCCAAGUCGUUGAAGUUUAUUUGGGUCUACAAUGUAUGCUGAAAAUAGGUGGAAGCCAUUCCAUAUCCAACACAAGAUAAGAUGUAAUCUGCUCCACAAAGGCACAUCGUUUGGUGGGAGAUAUUCCAGAGUGAAUUUGUGCCUUAAGACGUUUAUUGGUAAAGCUCAAGCAGAAUCAUUCUACGGGAAGCAGAAUCCUCCAACAUACAAGAUGCAAAUGCUUCAAAAAAAGGAUGACAAAACUCAUUAGGACUCAUUGGAAACAGACAGUGUUAUUUACCAAUUACACUUUGAAAAUUAUCCAACUU